rnacentral:sRNA from 1 species
CAUCUUUAGUGUCCACAUUCCUGGGGUGUGGGAGAAGCAGAGGGUUGCUAGGAAGGAAACAGGAAUGCUGAGUGUCCAGCAGCCUCCAUACUCGUAGGAUGAGGAUGAGAACAGUACGGGGAACAAGGGAGAGCAGACCAAGAAUCCAGACCUGCAUGAGGACAACGUGACUGAACAGACCCACCACAUCAUCAUUCCCAGCUACGCUGCCUGGUUUGACUACAAUAGCGUUCAUGCCAUUGAGCGGAGGGCUCUCCCCGAGUUCUUCAACGGCAAGAACAAGUCCAAGACUCCAGAGAUCUACCUGGCCUAUCGAAACUUUAUGAUUGACACUUACCGACUGAACCCCCAAGAGUAUCUUACCUCUACCGCCUGCCGCCGAAACCUAGCGGGUGAUGUCUGUGCCAUCAUGAGGUGGGUCUUGUGGCUGAGGGGAAGGGGGUACAUGAGGAUGCCUGCCUAUGGAUGUGUUUUGGCAACAGUAGAGAUGCCAGCAAGGAACAUAGAGGAGCGGGCAGAAAAAAGCACCUCUAG